UCGAAUUCAGCCGCCUUAACCGACUGACCACCCAGACACCCCUAGUCUUUUUAAACUAAUAAAACUAGGUGAUGGGAUGUAAUGGAACUUGGAGAAAGGAAUGGAGGAAGACAGUUUAGCUGGAAUGGCCAAUGAAAGUCAUUCUAAGGAGGGAACAUCAGAGCUGAGACUCAAAUGAGGAGAAAGAGGUAAUCAUAGAAGAUCUGAGGAAAGAAAGUCUAUGCAGAGGAAUACCAGGUUCAAAGGCCAGUGACAUGAAGGAGCUCAGUGUGCUAGAAGGUUAGGAAGAAGGCCAGGGAAGCUGGAGAAUGGUGAGGAGAGACGUAUGUGGUCAUGUUUGAGAGACUGGCAAGAAAUGUAUCAUGGAUAGCUUUGUUGGUGAUGUGGAGGAGUUUUUUACUCUAAGUCCAAUGGAACUGUUGGAAGCUUUUAAGCCCUAAUCAAUUUGACCUGUAUUAUGCUUUAAAAGGUCAUUCUGGCUGGCUGCUGUGUGGAGAAUGAACUCUGCAGAGGAAGAAGUAGAAAUAGCCCAUUGAAGUCCAGGUGUGACAUAUUGGUUGCUGGGAUUAGGGCCAGAGCAAUGGAGAUGGUGAGUUGAUGGGCUUGUACAGGUCUUUCUACCUGAGCCAGAUGUCAUGCAAGAUCCUGGUAAAAUGGAGAUGAAAAGACCCAUACCAGCUUUCAAGGAGUGGCUGUCAGAUAAGUGGGCGAUUGCAGUAUGUGAAGCUAGAAGCUCAGCAUGUGUGGCUUAAGUCGUGUGAGCCUCAACAUCCGCAUCUCUAUAAUGGAAGUCUCAAGGAUCAUCCUCACUGAGCUAUUGUGAGCAUUGAGCCAAUACAUAAGGAGGAAACCUUUUGUAAACAGCAAGCAUAUAUGAGACCUCCUUGUUAGUAUACUUGGUCAUAACUAUGUUUACAAAAGUAAUAACCACAGUGAUAUGAUGAAUCCUAUGGUCAUAAAAGGAGGUCCCAUGGAAGUCCCUAGAAGUGGCAAGUCAAUGUGUUUUUCAAACCCAGGUUCUCCCUUAAAGGGAACCAGCACAUCAACAAGACAGGAGCUUGUCAGCUUUCUCUCUCGCUGAAUCUGGGCCAGGCCCAUUGCCUGAAUUUUAUGUUAAAUAAUAAAAGCACUGACAUUAAAUGUGUUGCCACGAAUCAACAACCUAUUUAAGGUAAGGUAUUAUGGCACAGCGGUCCCCAAGCAAUGUGUGUUUUAAAAAAAUAUGCUUAAAACUGCAAGUGCUUUGUGUAGCUGCUUCGCAAAAUCACUAGAGCUGAAGUAUUUGUAUUUUAAUGUUUAUCCCCAAACUGGCCUGCUGUUUUCAAAUUGCCCAGGAAACAUAAUGUUGAAAAUGGAAGGAAACCAGCACAAGCUAGAUUUAGAAAUGCAGUGUUAGUAAAGCAAGCUGUGGGGUUCUGAUACCUUAAGAGCACCAUAAAAUGCUCAUAAUUAAAUAACUGUUUUUCUUAACACAGCUAUUCCUAUUUUUCCCCCAGCCACUUAUGUAAAAGCAUUUAAUGUUCAUUCUUUCAUUACCAACCAGAGACUCUUGUAAAGAGGGAGCUGGUCCCAGAAAUUGUUAAAAAUGUUUUAAUAAUGGGGUCCUUUACAAGAGGAAAACUGUAUUAGGAAACAAAAUCAGGCUCUAGAUACUUCCUGUGGUUAUUUUUAUUGGCACUGGGCCCACAAAUGAUUUAUAUGGAGGAGGAUCAUGCCAUGGAGCUACUACCUGAACAACAGUGGUAAAAGCAAUAACAAAAUGCAUUCUGGUUGUCGGUGUCACAGAGACUGUGGAGGAGCAGGGGGCUACCAGUAUCUGAAGAAAGAGAGACAAGCGUGCUGGGGAACCAUAACACGGAACAGCCGGGCUUCCAGAUAAUUAAUGGAAGGAAGGAAGGGGAUGAAACCCAAAUCAGGUGGGAUUUCAAGCGCUCCUACCACGGAUCGGCAUAAUUUAUACAACAUUUUGAAAGCCUCACACCAACUAUAUGAGGUGAAUGUGCAGUCAAGGCUGAAAUCGCUUAAGUAACUCUGUCAAGUUUGCACAGGGAGGAGGUAGCAGAGACAGUGGGAUGUCUCACGUCUGCAUGACUCUCAAUCCCGUUUGUUCUCUGCUAUUCAGUGAAUAAUACUGAGGUAGCAAGUGAAAGUAUGAAUGAAGUGGGAAGUGUUCGAGACUUGCAGCAGAAUGCAAGAGAAGGAGAAAAUGCUGUUCAAUGGUAUUUCCCCAAGUAUGGUCCUGGGUCAUCUGCCUCAGAAGCACGACAAAAGUUUGUAAAAAAUGAAAAAUUCCAGGUCUUCCCACUGUAGAUUACGGAAUCCGAUUCCCUAGGUGUGGGGCUCAAGGAUAUCAGGUUAUUCAUUUAUUCCCCAAGAACCUAAAUUGAUUCUCAUGCACACUUAGGAGACAACCAUAACCACCAAUAUGUCUUAAUUUGUUCUUUAUUCUUAAUGGGAGUGUACUCCAAGGAGAUACCUCUCACAGCACUGUCGGUUAGUGAAACACAUUUUCAGAAAUGCUCGUUCAUAUUUUUAUAAUUAUAAACUUGUCCAACCCUUCUGCUGUGUGAACAGAGGACCCUUAGGAACAUGAGUUUGAGGUUAUUGUAAAUAUCUUUGCUGUGGUAUGAUGGCUGUUUCUAAGAGACAUUCAGUAAGUGUUCAUGUUCCUAUACCCAAUGGGAAAUCUUUUUUCAGUUCACACUUUAAUCAGGAAGUAAUUUUUCCCAUGAGAGUGGUGUAUUAGCUGUUGCUGUGUAACAAAUCACUGCAAAACCCAAUGCCUUAAAACAACAAAAAGGACGCAUGUGAAGGACAUGCAAAAGACAAAGCCAACCUCAGAAGGCCAUAUAUGAUGAUAUAAAUUAUAUAACAUUCUUGGCAAAACAAAAUUACAGAAAUGGAGAAGAGAUCAGUGAUUUCCAGGGGUUAAGGAUGAUGUAUGGGAUGGAUAUGACAAUCAAAGGGUAGCAUGAAGAUCUUUGUGGUGAUAGAGAAGUUCUGUAUCUUGAUUCUUUGUCUUGAUUACCCUGGUGGUUAUAAGAAUCUACACCAUGGGUAAGAUGGCAUAAGACUCUACACUUAUAUGCUACCUGCUUUGAUUUUUGGUUUUGAUUUUGUACUAUAGUUUUAUAAGAUGCAAUCAUUGGGGGAAACUGGGUGAAGUACACAUGAGAUGUCUCUGUAGGAAUCCUGCAGUUUCCUGUGAAUGUAUAAUUAUUUCAAAAGGAAAACAUUAAAACAACUUAAAAAAACCUAUAAACAAUUGUUAUCUCAUAGUCUCCAUUGAUCUGAAAUAUAAUGGUGAGUGUUCCUGGCUCAAGGUCUUUCAUGAGAUUUCAGUGAAGCUGUGGCCUGGAGCUGAGGAAUCAUCUGAAGACUGCAUGGGAGGAUAAUCUGCUUCUAAGCUCAUUCAUGUGACUCUUGGCAAGAUUCAGUUCCUCGUGGAUUGUUGGAAUGAGGACCUUGGUUCCUCACUGGUUGUUGGCUAGAGUUCUCCCUCAGUUUCUUACCACUGAGACCUCUCCAUAAAUCAGCUCACAACAUGGCAGCUGGCCUUUCUUAGAGCAAGUGAGAGAGAGCAGGUGAGCACUCAGAUGGCAACCAUAGUCUUCUUAGAAUCUAAGCCGGUAGGUGACAUCCCAUUCUUUCUGUCAUAUUCUCUUCAUUAGAAGUGAAUCAAAAAACCCAGCUGACACUCAGAGGGAGGGAGUUACAUGAGGAACAUUAGGAACUGCGGAUCAUUGGGAGGCAUUUUAGAAGUUGUCUACCACAAGGACUUUAAAAAAUAUCUUUCUUUUAGACACAACAUGAAGAAAUGAUAGAAUACACAGUGAUCAGAUUAGAGGAAGUCUGAUAUAGUUCUGGCAUUGAGUAACCAUUCUGAGGUUAAUAACUGAGGAAGCCAACUGGUAUUUUUUAAUCUAUUAAAAGAAGCAAACUCCACACCAAUAACGAUGUCAAAGACUGUACUGAGGGGGAGACAUCAGUAAACUCAUAAGCAAAUUCAUAAGCAAAUAUCAAAGAUUUCUUGCAAAUAGUAGUAGAGACCCUGAUAUGAAGAGUAAAUAGUAUGGAUAUUUAUUUCAAGAUAUACCUGGUUAUACCUUUGCAGGCUGGGAAGGCAAGAACUAAGGUGAAGAUCACCAACAAGCAGUGUAUAUCUCUUUGCUUCAUUUGCUGAGAUCAUUGUCAUGAGGACUGGUCUCUCUCCAACACGGGGUGUACUAGUUGUCUAUAUUAAUCAGGUGAAAAACUUCUAAAGCCUUAUAGUCUGACAGGCAAGAUCUUCUACCCUAGGUCCCACUGAGACAUAAAUCAUCAUUUGCUGUGGCCAGAAUUGAACUUGGACUAAGAAUUGGAAUAGGAUUGUCUGACCACUGGUAGCCUAGAUGGGCCCUUGGUAGUUAUGUGCUGUACCCAUGUCCUGCAGGUGGAAUAUUUGGGCUGUCUUCCAAAAGCCCAGACUUGCAAUGUGUCUACUCCAUGGGCAAGUCUCUGUCCAACUCUUUAUUCCACAAGAUGAUAGAUAAUGGUGUGACAGACCCAGAUGUUAGCUAAAUAAGUUUUGAACAGCCUGCUCUGGAGUAUUGAGCAUUGAGGAAUGGCUAGAACAUUUUCUCUAGAAAUGAGUGUUGCCAGAAGUAUUGGAUAUGGUGUAGUGAUCUUAGUGGGACUUAGUGAGUCUUAUGUGCAAUCAAUAAGUGCUGAAUGCCAAUGGUGAAAAGGACUUGCUGGCUAAGGGAGCUAGGAUAAUGGUGGUCAUGAUGAUAAAUGCAUGCUUGAAUGUGUGUGUGUGUGUGUGUGUGUGUGUGUGUGUGUGUGUGAACAUGUGAUGUGUGUACCCCAUGUCAGCAUUGUCUACCAUCACAGGUGGUAAUAGUUGGGACCAUGACCCUCUUGUUCAUCAUCAUACUUUGGCAUAUGUUAGCCAUUCAACAAAUAAAUUGAAUGCAUUCUUGAGAAUUCCAUAUUAUUUCUGUUCUUUUAACAUGCCAAGGGCUGAAAAAUCAGGGCCAGGGAGAUAAUUGACAGCUGGGUUGUCUGUCCUAGUGUGGUUUGGAAAUGAGGUGGACAGAAGGUGUAAAACCAAAUGAGAAACAGAGGGGAACCAUAAAAAAGGAAACUGGGUAUACAUUAUCAGGGUAUUUCUGGAGGCAAAAUGCAGGGCGAAAGCCUUAACUUCCCAUGAUGGCAGACGUGAGUGUGAUGGGUAUAUGUAAAGGCACAGGCUGGAGAAAAAGAAAUAACAGUUUAGUGAAAUCAGACUGUUCUCAAGCAGUAGAAACUUAUUUUGUAUCAAACUGUGUUGAAGCAGAGGUGUUGAAAAUAGCAGAGGAACUUUCUAAUGUUGACAGUUGUGAAUUGUGUUUAUCGAUCCAUUAACAACUAUUAUGAUCAGUGGCGCAAAAAAUGUAAGGUACUGCCCGAACUUGAGAUCCUAAAUAGUUAACCUGUAGUAUUUUGUUUCCAGAAUGGUAUGUGUUAGAAACACGUACUCCUGAGAUCUGUUUAUGUCAGGAUGAGGUGGCAAACGAGCUGCUUGGUGUUGCCACUGGUGAAGACAGCUGUGUGCUUCGGAGGAGUGGGAAUCAACUUCCCUAGAAGCCCUUCCUAUCAGGGGCUAUUUGGAUGUCUCUGGAGUUGCUUCAGGGCACAACACUUAAGUGGAAAUUUCUGUCUGCCACAACACUGGUAGAGGGAGCUGGUGCUCACCAACGGCUUUGUUUCUCUCUUUUUUUCCUGGCCACAGUACUAAAUGGUACCAGACCCUUUUCAUGUAGGUGGAGCUGCAUGCCACAGUGUGGGCAGAAGGGAGGGAUGCCAUUUUGUGGACUGGCACAUAAAAUCUUCCAUGCAUGAUCCUCCACCUGUGAUGUGAAUGAGAAACAGUGUUACUGCGCUAAGCCAUGGAGAUUUGGGGAUAUUUGUGACAGCAGUUAGCCUUCCCUGACUAAUACAGCCAUUGUUCCACAAGACAAGGUCUGAAAUCAAGUAUUUUUCCAAAAUAUCUGAUGGCUCUGAGAACAUGUUUCAUUGCCUCGCACACAAGAACACAGUGCAGGAUGGCCCCCAGCUUGUAUUUACAAACAGAAAACAGUUUAAUAGAAGUGAAUGAAAAGAGACAAUUUACACUUGAACACUGUCAAGUAACCCAUGGUUUCAUUUGUGUGUGUGUGUGUUAAUGUGAUGCCAAAAUAUUAGUUUGAUUAAAAUUGUGCACAUUUCACAGUGUUUGGUUACAGGCUAGUCAGUCAUAAUAUUCAGUGUGAGAGAUACUGUCUCUCAUCAUAAUGUCCUUUCAUUAUUUCAUACCCUGUUCAUAUGAACAUUGAACCUAAGAUUCAGGGGUAGUAGGAAUACUGGUGAUAGACAAGCCUGUCAUUUCAAUGUAAAAGGAUCAGUGAUAAGGUAAAGGGAAUUAUAGACACUAAGGGAGCACUGGAGGAAACAGAUCUAGCUCGUCUUGCCCAGAAGGGAAGUGCAACUGUCAGCAAGUCUUAGCAAUGGAUGUUCUUGACUAGUGGUAAUAAGAACCGCAGGAAUUUAGAGGUUAGUAUCCUGGUCAGAUUCCCUGGAAGCUGAGCUUGAGAUGGGGAUUCUUGCGGAGGUGAGGCUGUUCUCACAAAGAAACCUGUAAGGAAGUGAGACAAGCAAGAUAGGACUCAGGAAGAAGCUAAGCUAGCAUCAUCUUUAUCUCAGUGAGAGCUCUGAAGCAGUAAUGGUAUCACAGUUGUAUUCCACCUUGAGGCAUCAGUUAGUCAUUUGCUGUGGACUGUUGCUUGAGGUGAGGUGUAUAACUUCCCAGACAUUCCUGUGCAAGGUGGCUCCCAUUGACCAAUGGCAAUUCUCCAGAGAAGGAUAUAGCUAGGGAUUAUCAGUAGCCAUGGUCACAGUUUCUGGGAGAUAGGUGCACUUCCCUUACAAAGGGGAUAUAAAUAGGGCUCUGAUCAUAUACUCCUGUUCCCUGCUUCUGUUUCCCUGUUAUUUCUCAUAUUAUAUUUACUCCAUUUAUGCAAAGCCCCUCUAAGAUUCUGAUUGAUCAUAGUUGCUAGGGAAACUUACAAGACUGGGGCUUAGUGAAGGUAAUAAGCCAAGGUCAUAAUUAGUACACAUCAUCCCUCCCCUACUAUCCUUUCUGGAUUCUCCUCCUCUCAUCUAGCAUCUCUGCUAGUCAAUAUGGCUUGCUUGGUAAUGUGAUCCAGAUCUUCAUCCUUGGGGGGGGGGGGGGGGUCUAAG